rnacentral:tRNA from 1 species
GGGUCGGUGCCUGAGAGGUUAAAAGGAGCGGAUUGUAAAUCCGCUGGUAGUUACCUACACUGGUUCAAAUCCAGUUCGACCCCC